rnacentral:rRNA from 1 species
CCUACGGGUGGCAGCAGUGAGGAAUAUUGGUCAAUGGACGCGAGUCUGAACCAGCCAAGUAGCGUGAAGGAUGACUGCCCUCUGGGUUGUACACUUCUUUUAUAUGGGAAUAAAAUGUUCCACGUGUGGGAUUUUGUAUGUCCCAUAUGAAUAAGGAUCGGCUAACUCCGUGCCAGCCGCCGCGGUAAUACGGAGGAUCCGAGCGUUAUCCGGAUUUAUUGGGUUUAAAGGGUGCGUAGGUGGAUUGUUAAGUCAGUUGUGAAAGUUUGGGGCUCAACCGUAAAAUUGCAGUUGACACUGGCAGUCGUGAGUACAGGAGAGGUAGGCGGAAUUCGUGGUGUAGCGGUGAAAUGCUUAGAUAUCACGAAGAACUCCGAUUGCGAAGGCAGUUCACUGGACUGCAACUGACACUGAGGCUCGAAAGUGUGGGUAUCAAACAGGAUUAGAUACCCUAGUAGUC